CCUACGGGGUGCAGCAGUGAGGAAUAUUGGUCAAUGGACGCAAGUCUGAACCAGCCAUGCCGCGUGCAGGAAGACGGCUCUAUGAGUUGUAAACUGCUUUUGUACGAGGGUAAACGCAGAUACGCGUAUCUGUCUGAAAGUAUCGUACGAAUAAGGAUCGGCUAACUCCGUGCCAGCAGCCGCGGUAAUACGGAGGAUUCAAGCGUUAUCCGGAUUUAUUGGGUUUAAAGGGUGCGUAGGCGGUCGGAUAAGUUAGAGGUGAAAUCCCGAGGCUCAACUUCGGAAUUGCGUCUGAUACUGUUCGGCUAGAGAGUAGUUGCGGUAGGCGGAAUGUAUGGUGUAGCGGUGAAAUGCUUAGAGAUCAUACAGAACACCGAUUGCGAAGGCAGCAUGCCGGCUUCCGACUGACGCUGAAGCACGAAAGCGUGGGGAUCGAACAGGAUUAGAUACCCCAGUAGUC
rnacentral:rRNA from 1 species